AGACUUAGCAGGGAAGAGCUGCUCCUGGCUGUGCUGCGAACACAGUGCCAGCCUAAGUAGCUCCUGAAGGAGGAAGAGAAGAAAAGAGGAUGCCCUACCCCUGAAUCUGUUCCGGCUGUGAAAUUUUACAGGCCUUGAACUAGUUAUUCAUAAAGAAAAAUCACCUUUUGAACUGCUGAGAGGAUGCAAUGCCACUACCAAACUUAUCCAGUGGCAACAACUCAUAGGGCUUUCCAUGCCAUUUUACCCUGAGGAUACAGAGAUUUGUGAUCAGUUUUAACCUCACAGAUGAAGCUGAUGAAAGUGAUGGAUAAUCAUCUGUACCAGAAAACAAAUCACCAACAGCUCAUGUGCCAGAGAACCCACGAAUCAGGAGAAGUGUGCACGACAGGAGACCACCUGAAAGACUUCAAGACUUUGUCCCCGAGUUUUAAAAUCAAUUCAAUUCUGGUUGUUAUAAAGGGGAGGGACAUGUUACAUUCUGUCUUGUAAUCUUUUGUGUUUGUCCCAGUGGAGAUCUUGUAGAGAGUGUGGUAGGUGGAUUCAGAAAGAAAAAGGAAGAAAAGGAGGAAAAAAAUGGAGUUGUUUCUAAAUAAACUCUUAGUUA